CAGAAAAUAGUUUAAAAAGUAAAAUAAUAGCAUUGGAAGUUAUUGAUGGAAGUUUUCCUUUUCUGA
rnacentral:tRNA from 1 species